rnacentral:tRNA from 4 species
GCGCGAUUAGCUCAGCUGGAUAGAGCGUUGGCCUCCGGAGCCAAAGGCCGCAGGUUCGAAUCCUGCAUCGCGCGC